rnacentral:rRNA from 1 species
GACGAACCGAGCGAACGUUAUUCGGAAUCACUGGGCUUAAAGGGCGCGUAGGCGGGCCAUCAAGUCAGGGGUGAAAGCCCCCAGCUCAACUGGGGGAAGUGCCUCUGAUACUGGUGGCCUCGAGGGAGGUAGGGGCGUGCGGAACUUCCGGUGGAGCGGUGAAAUGCGUAGAUAUCGGAAGGAACACCGGUGGCGAAAGCGGCGCGCUGGACCUCUUCUGACGCUGAGGCGCGAAAGCCAGGGGAGCGAACGGG